rnacentral:misc_RNA from 1 species
AACGCAUAUUGCGCCUUUUGGUAUUCCGGAAGGCAUGCUUGUUUGAGUAUCAGUAAUAACCCCUCAGCUUUUACUACGACACCCUUGGUGUUGAAAGCUGGAUUUGAGCAAUGUUUUCCCUCAAGCUUUUUGGGGGAUGCUCGAAAUACAUGGUUCGGCCGUACAAGGUUUGUGGGCUACAAGCAUUCAUACUUAAUCCCGUAGAACGGAUUAUAACCUUUGCUCAAGCCAAUCAUCACAACUCGUAUGUUGCUCGACUGAUGCAGGAACGCGUGUUUUUCUCUCGUCUUUUGGACGAAAGAUGGACAUUGAACCUCGAUCUCAAAUCAAGUAAGACUACCCGCUGAACUUAA